GAUCAUGGCUCAGAGUUGAACGCUGGCGGCAGGCCUAACACAUGCAAGUCGAACGAGACCUUCGGGUCUAGUGGCGCACGGGUGCGUAACGCGUGGGAACCUGCCUUUAGGUUCGGAAUAACUCAGAGAAAUUUGAGCUAAUACCGGAUAAUGUCUUCGGACCAAAGAUUUAUCGCCUUUAGAUGGGCCCGCGUUGGAUUAGCUAGUUGGUGGGGUAAAGGCCUACCAAGGCGACGAUCCAUAGCUGGUCUGAGAGGAUGAUCAGCCACACUGGGACUGAGACACGGCCCAGACUCCUACGGGAGGCAGCAGUGGGGAAUAUUGGACAAUGGGCGAAAGCCUGAUCCAGCAAUGCCGCGUGAGUGAUGAAGGCCUUAGGGUUGUAAAGCUCUUUUACCCGAGAUGAUAAUGACAGUAUCGGGAGAAUAAGCUCCGGCUAACUCCGUG
rnacentral:rRNA from 1 species